AACGAACGCUGGCGGCAGGCCUAACACAUGCAAGUCGAACGCCCCGCAAGGGGAGUGGCAGACGGGUGAGUAACACGUGGGAACGUGCCCUAAGGUUCGGAAUAUUCCCGGGAAACUGGGAGCAAUACCGAAUGUGACCGCAAGGUGAAAGAUUUAUCGCCUUAGGAUCGGCCCGCGUCGGAUUAGCUUGUUGGUGGGGUAAAAGCCUACCAAGGCGACGAUCCGUAGCUGGUCUGAGAGGACGACCAGCCACACUGGGACUGAGACACGGCCCAGACUCCUACGGGGAGGCAGCAGUGGGGAAUCUUGGACAAUGGGCGCAAGCCUGAUCCAGCCAUGCCGCGUGGAUGAUGAAGGCCUUUAGGGUUGUAAAAUCCUUUCGUCAGGGACGAUAAUGACGGUACCUGAAGAAGAAGCCCCGGCUAACUUCGUGCCAGCCGCCGCAGUAAC
rnacentral:rRNA from 1 species